UACGUAGGGUGCAAGCGUUGUCCGGAAUUAUUGGGCGUAAAGAGCUCGUAGGCGGUUUGUCGCGUCUGCUGUGAAAACUGGAGGCUCAACCUCCAGCCUGCAGUGGGUACGGGCAGACUAGAGUGCGGUAGGGGAGAUUGGAAUUCCUGGUGUAGCGGUGGAAUGCGCAGAUAUCAGGAGGAACACCGAUGGCGAAGGCAGGUCUCUGGGCCGAUACUGACGCUGAGGAGCGAAAGCGUGGGGAGCGAACAGG
rnacentral:rRNA from 1 species